UUCAUUAAAAGUCAAACAUAUUCAUCAAUAUUCUACAUUCAAGAUUCAUCUUCUACAUUUAUCAUUUAUAAUCAACCAUAAUUAUCAAGCAAAUACUAAUUGUAUUAAAGGAGCUUACUUUGAAGUUUUUCAGGUUUCUCUUCGCAAAAUUCGUCGGCGACUCUCAAUAUUAACCGGGGCAAACCUCUGCUCCGUUGAU
rnacentral:lncRNA from 1 species